GACGUAGGAGGCGAGCGUUAUCCGGAUUCACUGGGCGUAAAGCGCAUGUAGGCGGAUGUCUAAGUCGUGUGUUAAAGCCCCUGGCUCAACUGGGGGAGGUCAUGCGAGACUGGAUGACUUGAGGGCAACAGAGGCACGUGGAACUCCCGGUGUAGCGGUGGGAAUGCGUAGAGAUCGGGAAGAACACCCGUGGCGAAGGCGGCGUGCUGGGUUGGCAACUGACGCUGAGAUGCGAAAGUGUGGGGGAGCAAACGGG
rnacentral:rRNA from 1 species